UGACCUCAAAUCAGGUAGGAUUACCCGCUGAACUUAAGCAUAUCAAUA
rnacentral:rRNA from 7 species